GCCGAGGGGUCCGCGCGCGGGGGGCGCCCAGGGGCCGUCGGGUCCGUCCGAGCCGCCCGCCGCUCAGGGGCGCCUGGCCCCGGACAGCGCUGGCGAGGGCGCCCCGGGCCGUGAGCCCCCCGCCAGCCCCGCUCCCCCGGGGAAGGAGCACCCCCGGGACCUCAAGUUCAGCAUCGACUACAUCCUGUCCUCCCCAGACCCCUUCCCUGGGCUCAAGCCGCCCUGCCUCGCACAAGAGGGCAGAUACCCGCGGCUGGAGAACGUGGGACUCCACUUUUGGACAAUGUGAUGUGGAGCCACCCUGGAGGCCCCUGCAGUUCAGUCUGGGGUCUUCCCCGGACCCUCCCUGGAAAGACGAUUCCAGCCCCACCUUGAGCCAGGAAGCCAGGGUUCGGCAAAUCCUACAAUUUCUCCUGCAGACAGAAGAUGGAAGCAGGACAGCGGCAGAUUUGAGAGCAACCACCAGGUCCCUGAGUGCAAACUGACCACAGAUGAGCCCCUCCUCCCCACUGCUGACUUGCUGGGUAUAGCGGAGCAGCACCCCUCCAGAGAGCCCUCCUGGGCUGACACCUGCCCUUUGCACCCAGCUGAAAUAAAACUCUUGGAAUCUGC
rnacentral:lncRNA from 1 species